GACGAACGCUGGCGGCGUGCUUAACACAUGCAAGUCGAACGAAGUGGCGAACGGGUGAGUAAUACGUGGGUAACCUGCCCUCCUUUUUGGGAUAAGCCUUGGAAACGGGGUCUAAUACCGAAUAAAGGGGGAUGGGCUCGCGGCCUAUCAGCUUGUUGGUGGGGUGAUGGCCUACCAAGGCGGUGACGGGUAGCCGGCCGGAGAGGGUGACCGGCCACAAGGGGCCGGAGAUACGCCCCAGGCUCCUACGGGAGGCAGCAGUUGGGGAUAUUGCGCAAUGGACGACAGCCUGAUGCAGCGACGCCGCGUGGGGGAUGAAGGCUUUCGGGUUGUAAACCUCUUACGCUAUCGAACGGGUAGCUGGAGAAGAAGCGCCGGCUAACUACGUGCCAGCAGCCGCGGUAAUUC
rnacentral:rRNA from 1 species